AGGACCUUUGCAGUCGCACGCUGCUGUACCUUGCGUUGCUGCCGAAUUGAGCGGUCCCUCAGGAGCUUACCCUCACUUACCCUCGGAGGCCGGACCAAAGUGAUGAUCUGCCAGUCCCAUGGAUGAGCUGGAAGUGGCUGCUAAUACAGGAGCAGCUGGCUGCUAUUGCUCUCUGACUUCCAAAGAUCUCCAGUUCCUCACCAGCCCUGCCGAAGGAGGCCCCAGUAGCCUGUACCAGUGAUUUUUCCUACGUGACCUCGCCUUCUCCCCACCAGUCUUCAAAACCCAGACACUCUGGCAAAGUUUCAGAUGACCCAUAGAGGUCCAAUCUAAAGAGCUAAAGUGACAGAGAAUCUGUUGCAUCCUCAGGUAAAUUGUUCCAGUGGUUAAUUAAUAACCUUAAAUGUUCUGCACCAAGAAUAAUUGUAUUUCUUUGCAGAAAUGCCUUUGGUUUCCAGCCACUGGAUCUCAAGAUGCCUUCAUCUGUCAGAUUAAAGAGCCUCAUCUUAUUACUUAUUACUGUGUAGGCACUUGCUGACCGCUCUCAGGUCACCUCUUAACCUUCCUAGGGACAGACUAAAUGGAUUGAAUGUCUCUAGUUCCCCUCUGUAAGUGAGGUUUAUCAACCUCCUAUUCUUCUUGCUUCUGUCUGCUGAAACCCCUCCAAUUUGUUCUCAUCCUCCUUUCCAGCCAGAUGCAGCAGGGUCUUGUGCAGUCUUUCGUGCCUUCUACCAUGGCUAAAGAGCUUCUGGGCACCCGCUGAGCCUUGUCCUGCUCUGUGCAUCCCAGGGCUGAAUUAUUCCUCAGCUGCUGCUGUGUCCAGGGUCAGGCUGAGCCCUUAGUGCCUCUCUGGUGUCCCCAUAAGAACGGAAUGGAGAGUGCAAAGAAGCCAGUCCUGAGCUUGGGAUCAGCCUGUCAUGGCCCAAGGGGUUUUGGUGCCUCUAAUUUGGCAUCUACCCUGGCUACGCAAAAAGAAAAGGAAGGUCCUGAGUCAGGCGGCUGGGCUGGGCAGGAGGGACAGAGGAGCUGCUGGGGAGCUUGGGGCUGUCUCCUGUGUGAGUCUGCUCACACAGAAGUUCACCAGCUCCAAGUGAGUGUAAUUGCAGAGACAAAGUCGGAGCAGCCUGAAAAUCACAGGGACAGCAUAACUUCCAGCCGAGGAGAAAAGGGCCUUUACGAGGUCUUGAACCGGUGUCCUUAGGUAGGUUGUGCGGCGGCGUGAUGUGUGAGCACUCAGCCACUCCGCUGCUGGUUAGAAAUGAGAAAUUUCAAGGGCUAUUGAGCACUUUGUGAAUUUUCACAGUGGCUCAGCGCAAAGUUAUUUAGCACAGGUGUUUUAGUAAUUGUGAUGCAUUGGGAAAAUUCACAGUGCUCAAUGGCCCUCAAACUUCCACCUGCUUGGUGUGGUGGUUAAGUAUUAGUGCAGUGGAUUAUAAGAUAAAAUAUGCAGGAGAGACUUGCUGGCUGCAGGAAUUUUUCUGGCACUGGUUAUACUUCUUUGUUAUUCUACAAAUGGUUUGUUUAUCUGAUGUGUAUUAGAAGGACAGAAAGUUGACUUCAGUGGCUCUUAAAGUUGAGUGUUCUGUACCUACUGAGGCUGAUGGGUCCACGUCCCCUCAUGGCCCAGGCAAGGGCACUGCAGAGGGAAAGGGGUCUGCAGACCACAUCCCUGGCCGUGCUCAGCGGUAUCUCUGGGUGUCCCAUUCUGGGGCUGCACAGCUGCUCAAAAUGCCCAGCCAUGAGCCCUGGGUAGGGGGACAGGGAAGAAGAAGGACCUCUGCCCACAGUUCUCUGAAGGUACGCAACUGUACCUGCAAGUCCUGGGUAAGUUUUCCUUUAAUUAUCCCUUUCCAAGUCACCUCUGCUCCCAUGCUGACUGUGCUAGGAGGGCCCCUUCGGGAAGGAUGCUCUAUCUGUCCUUUCAUGCACAAAUGAAUUGAUUAGGCAUCUUUGCAAGGAUGUGAUGUGGCCAAGUACAAAGAGUCAGAAGAAAGCUUUAAUUUUACUUUUACUUCAGCCCUGACAGUGGAACAUUGUGGAAAGCACAAAUACCGAACUGAUGACACAGGCCAUUAUUACAAAGUAAUUAAAUACAGAAAAUACUGUUUUCUGCUGUCUCCUAAACUGAAUUGAUGGAGUAAUCCUGCAAGCUUUACUGAUUUUGCUGUGCUGUGGAUGGGCAGCUAAAGCACAAGGACCUGUGGCAAUGUGGGAUGGCUGAGCUUGUUGGCUGCUGCAAUUUGCAGAGCAAACUGUUUUCUCAUGUUUUAGUUUUUGAUGCUGAACGGACAUUAGCAAUGCGAUUCCCCUCCUUCCCCAGCUUUCUUCCCAGAUAAACACACAUAGCUGACUGGCUUUGUUCCACCCAGUUCUCUCCAUAUAUUCACCCCAAGCCCAGUUAUCAUGGGAAUGGGCCUGCACCACUGAAUAGAAAUUUCCGAGGAAGGGAGGGUUCAGCAUCUGAAAGCAAAAGGUGAUAAGCGAGAACACACUGAAAAUCCCAGAUCUGUGCUGUGAAAGGGGAAGGCUGGUUGGGUCAGCUGAGACUCGUUGCUAUAUUCUUACAUGGAGGUGUAAGUGCAGGUGAGGAGGAGGAAAGCGGUGGUUGUGGUGGGAGUGGGAAUACUCAGAUUGGGAGCUGUCAGUGUGGCUGCCACACGGCAGGAGCUCUCUGUCACCGACACAACCCCAUCGGCCUAAGGGCAACUCAGAUCCAUCCAUGGGGGCUGGAAACCCCUCAGUGGUGCUGGCGAUGCUCAGCCCAGAGCUGCUUUUCCAUUCAUGGUGCCUGAUCCUCCGCCACACGCUCCCCUCAGCCCUGCUAACACGAGCAGUGACGCUUUCUUUUCCAGCUCCCACAGCUGAGAGAGCAGCACUUCUACUUUUGCUUCUUUUCCCCACACUGCGUUUAGACACUGACUUUCUAAUUGCAACCGGCCACCUCCUCCGCGCUGGGAAGCGAGCGUGUCUCCUGCGAACCCUGGUGAGGCUGCGGGCUGCCCUGCCGUGCAUCGUGCUGCAGGUUUUCGGCAGGGUGAAACACUGACUCUGUGGCAUCUUUGGGUCUUGCAGGCACAGGUGGGACUUCAGUGAUAAAAAAGCAAAACCAAAGCAGGCAAAGUUUGUCAUGAGCCAAAUGCAGCCAUUUGCAGGUCUCCGGAAGAUUAAAAGCUGGUGUGUAACUGGAGAGUCCUGCUGUGAUAUGCUAAUAAAAUUAAUGAAUGGACUCUAUUUUGAGCUUAUUGAAAUAUUUCAGAAUUCCCAAUUCUGACAAGAUUUCAAAUGGAAAUUUCAGAUGUCUUCUCCCCAGUUUCUCCUCAGUCUCCUCUCUCCCUCUCACACCAUCGUUUUUGGUGAUAUUAACAUGUAAAUUAAGCUCAUUUAUAGAAAGUAACAUUUUGACAAGUUGACAAGUGUUGUACAUGACAAGAGUUUGGGUUGGGAGGGGUUCCUGUUUCCACAAUUGCUAUUAUUCCCUGGCAUGGAAAUAUAGCUGUGUGCAGCAGUGGUCAAGGUGCUUGUGCUGUAUUUAGCCCCAGUAGCCGGGAUACCCUGCUGGACGCAGUCAUCGGUGGCUGUGCAGGGUCUCUCCAGGUCCUACCAAAGCCAGCAGAUGAUCUGCUUUGUUGCCGCUACAGGAAUCAGGUUUGGACCUGUGUGUUGCAUAGCAACUCUAAAUUAUUAUAAGGGUAUUAUUGCUACUCAUGAAUAAAUACAGUUUGUCUCUUU